AACGAACGCUGGCGGCAGGCCUAACACAUGCAAGUCGAGCGCUCACCUUCGGGUGGGAGCGGCGCACGGGUGAGUAACACGUGGGAACCUACCUUGAAGUACGGAAUAACUGAGGGAAACUUCAGCUAAUACCGUAUACGCCCUACGGGGGAAAGAUUUAUCGCUUCAAGACGGGCCCGCGUUGGAUUAGCUAGUUGGUGAGGUGAUGGCUCACCAAGGCAACGAUCCAUAGCUGAUUUGAGAGAAUGAUCAGCCACACUGGGACUGAGACACGGCCCAGACUCCUCCGGGAGGCAGCAGUGGGGAAUAUUGGACAAUGGGCGCAAGCCUGAUCCAGCCAUGCCGCGUGAGUGAUGAAGGCCUUCGGGUUGUAAAGCUCUUUCAGAUGGGACGAUGAUGACGGUACCAUCAGAAGAAGCCCCGGCUAACUUCGUGCCAGCCGCCGCCGUAAGAC
rnacentral:rRNA from 1 species